UACGGGAGGCAGCAGUGGGGAAUAUUGCACAAUGGGCGCAAGCCUGAUGCAGCCAUGCCGCGUGUAUGAAGAAGGCCUUCGGGUUGUAAAGUACUUUCAGUCGUGAGGAAGGUGUUAAGGUUAAUAACCUUAGCAAUUGACGUUAGCGACAGAAGAAGCACCGGCUAACUCCGUGCCAGCAGCCGCGGUAAUACGGAGGGUGCGAGCGUUAAUCGGAAUUACUGGGCGUAAAGGGCACGCAGGCGGUUAAUUAAGUUGGAUGUGAAAUCCCCGGGCUUAACCUGGGAAUGGCAUUCAAGACUGGUUAGCUAGAGUCUUGUAGAGGGGGUAGAAUUCCGAUGUGUAGCGGUGAAAUGCGUAGAGAUGUGGAGGAAUACCGGGUGGCGAAGGCGGCCCCUGGGACAAAGACUGACGCUCAUGUGCGAAAGCGUGGGGAGCGAAACAGGGAUUAGAU
rnacentral:rRNA from 1 species